rnacentral:ncRNA from 1 species
UUCUGGGAGGAUUGACAGAUUGAGAGCUCUUUCUUGUUUCGGUGGAUGGUGGUGCAUGUCCGUUCUUAGUUGGUGGAGUGAUUUGUCUGGUUAAUUCCGAUAACGAACGAGACUCUAGCCUAUUAAAUAGGUGCGUGGUUCUCUGCACCUUGCAACCUUCUAGAGGGACAAGCGGCUCCUAGCCGCACGAAACAGAGCAAUAACAGGUCUGUGAUGCCCUUAGAU